AGUGUGAUAAGAACACCAGCCAAAACCUGACCCCUGAAAUUUUACUCUGAACUGAGGUGCCCCAUUCUGACCCUGAGAGCACCUGGCAGGUAUGUGGAAAAAAGAAAUGUGCAUUAAAACAGGCUAAACAAAUGGACAGGAUGAUGAAGACCAUGUAGAAAAAGAAGACCUAUCCAAGUAGAUAUAAAAUAGAUAAUGGAGAGUAUCAACAAGCCAAUGAUACAAAGCUAAAAGCCUAGAUAGCCAACAUCCUCUCCAAAGGAAUGGGACACUGAUAAUCAAGUUAUGGGAAGCUCUGGGGUGGUAGAAGAUUGUUACGCAAAUGCAUGAGACAAAGUGGAAGAAAGAGAGAGAAAGACAAGAUCAUUCCAUCCCGGAAAUAGACGAGGGUAUGAUAUAAUGAAAAGAGCAUGGAGUUUGGAGCAAGACCUAAGAUCAAGAGUAGGUUCUGCCACCCAGGUUACAUCACAAUUUUUAAAAUUUCACUGUGGAAAAAGUUACAAACGAAUGUAAACUUACCAGAAGUAAGAAAGAUAUAAUAUUUCCAAACCAGACACAGAGGAAAAUACAGGACAGGAGGAAUGUACACAGCCUGCAAUACUCUAGCAGUAAGUACUACUACUGGCUGGAAGAUAGGAAGCAGUCAUCGGUGAGCAUGGAAGGAAGAGCCAUUAUGCCCACGUGCAUCAGGAGUAAAUGCUGAGUUCUGGUCGGUCAUGGCGCAACAGUCUCCAAGGGGAACUCCCAAUUACUUCCAAAGGAAAGUUGAACUCCCACUAAUCUGUAGUGGAGCAGUUUUUAUACCUUCUUAAAACCCAGAAGAAUGAGUAUCAGAGUACUCUAUGUGAUCCUCAGAAAUAAAAACCACAAGUCUAGGGCUGCUAAAGUACCCUACCAAAAUCUAUUUCCUAUCAUUAAAUACUUACAAGAAGUAAAAGAUAAAAAGAAAGAGGCAAUGGAUGUAGGAAGCUUUGGGACCUCUCCUCUCCAGCUAUCUGAGAGAUACUGCUUCCCGCAAACAGUUUGCCUCUGUGAUCCUUAUUUACCUCUACCUUUUCCAUGAGAUUGAGAACACUAUAAGAAAGCCUACAAAUGCUAUGGUUGCACAUACAGAAAAAUCCGAGACCUCAGAGACUUCUUCCCAUCACUCUUUGAUGUAACUGAUUUCUCCCCAUCAGUAUCCUGAUCAUCUGGUUCCUUCAUUUCCUCUGAUCCAGGAUGACCCACCAGUAGGAGGGUGCAACUACCACCAGAGACCUCUGACCUCUGCAAGACAGCUAAUUAUAAUCACAGAUUCUCUUUCUCUAGGUAAAUUGUCAUUGUGGUGCACUUUGGUUUUCCAGAGGUCCACUACCAAAGUUCAUCUUUUCCCCAGAUGCUUCACCAUUAAAAUUAACUUUCUGCCAUCCUACUACCGAACCAGGCGACAGAGGGAGCUCACCAGCGACAAAGUGAAGCCUGUAAGACCCUGACUGCUCUGCAGACCCUUGACCUCGCGACCUGUCCACCGCUCAUAUUCUUCCAUUUCAUGUUCCACUUCAUGUAUCAUGUGUUUGAGGACAUCCAGGUUGGAAUUAGUCCUAUUUGGGCUAAAGUUACAGCCUACCUUCUUCUGGAGGCUU
rnacentral:lncRNA from 1 species